CCUGGGUCUGCAUCACCAACGGUGCUGGAAGUUUCCACCGCUACAUUGUAGAGGCCUCGAAGAAGAAGCAACUCGAUGUCACCCUUCGUUGACAAGCUAUAGAGGAUUUCGUCAAGAAAUUUAGCAAAAUUUUCAAUCUGACAAACAGUGAGCUUGAGUACAAUUCGAACUCUACAACAACUCAGACUGGCUCCCACGAGCAGGCAAACAAGCCAUCAUGCAGACCGAAUCAAACUCCAAGUCAAUUCCCGUUUGGACUCCGAACCGCAGCUUUGGUUUAUCAAGCAACACUAUCCAAGUCACAAUCUGGAUUGGAGACGAUUGAGGACCACAACCUCGACUUCUACUCGGAUUCCAUCGAAAGGAUUCUUAGGUCCGCAGCAGGGCCUGAUGAUUUCUUCAACACCCCAAGACAGAUUCGUCUACUGGCCGGGCAUGAAGCCAUCCUUCCAUGACUAGGAUGAUGAGUCACGGCUCAUCGCCAGCCUUGAGAUCCUACCAUACUAAGAGGGAACAACUCUGUCACCAAUCUAUGAAGAAAAUGGCACCACAGAAGUCAUCACCUCAAGCUCUGGCAACUAUACUCCAAAAAGAGAACUCUUCACUUUAAUCACAAAUGGGGAAGAAGGUGAACAACAUCAACCAAGACCCCCCC
rnacentral:lncRNA from 1 species